rnacentral:rRNA from 1 species
CACGUAGUUAGCCGGGGCUUUUUAGUCAGGUACUGUCACUUUCUUCCCUGCUGAUAGAGCUUUACAUACCGAGAUACUUCAUCGCUCACGCGGCGUCGCUGCAUCAGGGUUUCCCCCAUUGUGCAAUAUUCCCCACUGCUGCCUCCCGCAGGAGUCUGGGCCGUGUCUCAGUCCCAAUGUGGCCGGCCGCCCUCUCAGGCCGGCUACUGAUCGUCGCCUUGGUGGCCGUUACCCCGCCAACGAGCUAAUCAGACGCGGGCCCAUCCCAUACCACCGGAGUUUUCCCCAGGAAGCUAUGCAGCCUCCUGGGCGUAUGCGGUAUAGCAGCCGUUCCGGCUGUUACUCCCCCGGUAGUGGGGCUAGGUUCGCCCACGCGUUACCUCGACCCCGUCCGCCACUCCAGACCAGCUACUGUUCCUCCCCGAAGGGAACUCCCUGCCAGCCGCUUCGUUCGACUUGCAUGUGUUAAGCACGCCGCCAGCGUUCGAUCCGUGACGCCAGGACUACGAAACUCUACG